rnacentral:rRNA from 1 species
GAUGAACGCUAGCUACAGGCUUAACACAUGCAAGUCGAGGGGAAACGUCAUCGAAAGCUUGCUUUUGAUGGGCGUCGACCGGCGCACGGGUGAGUAACGCGUAUCCAACCUGCCCAUCACUUGGGAAUAACCUUGCGAAAGUAAGACUAAUACCCAAUGACAUCCCACGAAGACAUCUGAAUGGGAUGAAAGAUUUAUCGGUGAUGGAUGGGGAUGCGUCUGAUUAGCUUGUUGGCGGGGUAACGGCCCACCAAGGCAACGAUCAGUAGGGGUCCUGAGAGGCAGGUCCCCCGCAUUGGAACUGAGACACGGUCCACACUCCUACGGGAGGCAGCAGUGUGGAACAUUGGUCAAUGGGCGAGAGCCUUAACCAGCCAAGUAGCGUGCAGGAUGACGGCCCUGUGGGUUGUAAACUGCUUUUAUAAGGGAAUAAAGUGGGUCUCGUGAGACUUUUUGCAUGUACCUUAUGAAUAAGGACCGGCUAAUUCCGUG